CACAGGGGAGAAGGAGUCGUUCUCAGUAGAAUAGUUGAACUGCUGUCUAUGUUUAACCCUGAUGUGACACCCCUACCCCAGCAGUCAGCCCAUCAGCACAGGAGUCUGUUGGAGCAGGCUGAAGAUCUAGCUCUCUCCUUCUCAAAUCGCCAGG